GAGAGAUGAUGACAUUUUACUUUUGGUCUGUGUUUCUGACGACUGAUGAUUUUGAUGAUCUGAUCUC